CGGAAAACACCGGUUCUCGUUCGAUCACCGAAGUUAAGUCAUCGUAAAAACACCGGAGCCAGGUCAGUACUUAGAUGGGGACCGCUUGGGAACACCUGGUACUGUAAG